rnacentral:sRNA from 1 species
UGAAGCUACUAAUGAAUCGUAGCUUAUUGUUUGAAUCGCAGGAAAAAAAUCACAUUAAAAUCAUCAUUUUUCAGCUUCU